rnacentral:rRNA from 1 species
UACGUAGGGGGGCUAGCGUUGUCCGGAUUUAUUGGGCGUAAAGAGCGUGUAGGCGGCCAGGUAGGUCUGCUGUGAAAACUCGAGCUCAACCUCGAGACGCCGGUGGAAACCAUCUAGCUAGAGUCCGGAAGAGGAGAGUGGAAUUCCUGGUGUAGCGGUGAAAUGCGCAGAUAUCAGGAAGAACACCCGUGGCGAAGGCGGCUCUCUGGGACGUGACUGACGCUGAGACGCGAAAAGCGUGGGGAGCGAACAGG